rnacentral:rRNA from 2 species
UACGAAGGGGGCUAGCGUUGCUCGGAAUCACUGGGCGUAAAGCGCACGUAGGCGGCUUUUUAAGUCAGGGGUGAAAUCCUGGAGCUCAACUCCAGAACUGCCUUUGAUACUGAGAAGCUUGAGUUCGGGAGAGGUGAGUGGAACUGCGAGUGUAGAGGUGAAAUUCGUAGAUAUUCGCAAGAACACCAGUGGCGAAGGCGGCUCACUGGCCCGAUACUGACGCUGAGGUGCGAAAGCGUGGGGAGCAAACAGG